rnacentral:lncRNA from 1 species
AUGUAUUCUAAGGUCUCCACUCUGACUGAAGCUCUUUCCGCACUCUAUACAUUUAUAUGGUUUCUCACCUGUGUGAAUCCGUUGAUGUUUUCUAAGGGCUCCACUAUCACUGAAGCUCUUUCCGCACUCUAUACAUUUAUAUGGUUUCUCCCCUGUGUGAAUCCGUUGAUGUUUUCUAAGUUCUCCACUAUCACUAAAGCUCUUUCCGCACUCUAUACAUUUAUAUGGUUUCUCUCCUGUGUGAGUCCAUUGAUGUUUUCUAAGUUUUCCAUUAUUAAUAAAGCUCUUUCCACACGCCAAACAUUUAUAUGGUUUCUCCCCUGUGUGAGUCUGUUGAUGUCUUCUAAGGUGUCCACUAUCACUAAAGCUCUUUCCGCACUCCAGGCAUUUAAAUGGUUUCUCCCCUGUGUGAGUCUGUUGAUGUCUUCUCAGGUUUCCAUUGAAACUGAAGCUCUUUCCACACUCCAAACAUUUAUAUGGUUUCUCCCCUGUGUGAAUCCUCUGGUGCAAUUUAAGAUUACUAUUCUGACUGAAGCUCUUUCCGCACUCCAUACAUUUAAAUGGUUUCUCCCCUGUGUGAGUUUGUUGAUGUCUUCUAAGGGUUGCAUUGAAACUGAAGCUUUUUCCACGCUCCUUACAUUUAAAUGGUUUCUCCCCUGUGUGAGCCCGUUGAUGUCUUCUAAGGCUUCCACUAUCACUAAAGCUCUUUCCACAUUCCAUGCAUUGAAAUGGUUUAUCCCCUGUGUGAGUCCGUUGAUGUCUUCUAAGGCUUCCACUAUCACUAAAGCUCUUUCCACACUCCGUACAUUUAUAUGGUUUCUCCCCUGUGUGAAUCCUCUGGUGCAAUUUAAGAUUACUAUUCCGACUGAAGCUCUUUCCGCACUCCAUACAUUUAAAUGGUUUCUCCUCAGUGUGAGUUUGUUCAUGUUUUCUACGGUUUCCAUUCUGACUGAAGCUCUUUCCACACUCCAUACAUUUAAAAGGUUUCUCACCUGUAUGUGUCCGUUGAUGUAA